CUGCAGAAAGCAAAGGCUUCCUUUGAGAUUUGGGAGGACAAACUUAGAAAGUUCGAACUUGGCUUUCGUCAAGGUGGGUAGACCCAUAUCCACCAUGGACAAUAAAGAGCCUAUAACGGAGAAGAAGAACCUUGGCACUGGCAGGACAAUCCUAAUAAUAAGUGGUUCAUUUGUUGCUUUUGGUCUUGCUAUGGUGGCGAUUUUCGGAAUCAUCGUUUACAGAUAUCAUGUAUUGGCAUAUAAAAGGGUGCCAACUAAUGAUGGUACUGCAUUGAAUGAGGUAUUUGCUCCUCGAGCUUUCACUUAUGCAGACCUAGAAAAGAUUACUGGUGGUUUCAAGGAAGAAAUUGGCAGGGGAUCAUUUGGGACAGUUUAUAAAGGGAUCAUAUCAAGUACUCAGAAGGUUGUUGCUGUCAAGAGACUGGAGAAAGUUCUAGCUGAAGGGGAAAGAGAAUUUCAGAAUGAGAUGAAAGUCAUUGGGAAAACACAUCACAGAAACCUAGUCCGUCUGCUCGGCUAUUGCCAUGAUGAACAUCACAGGCUCCUGGUAUACGAGUACAUGAGCAAUGGCUCCCUCGCUGACAUACUCUUCUCACUUGAAAAACGACCUUGCUUCCCUGAAAGGUUGGAAAUUGCUCGCAACAUUGCAAGGGGUAUUGUUUAUCUACAUGAAGAGUGCGACACUCAGAUCAUCCACUGUGAUAUAAAACCUCAGAAUAUACUAAUAGAUGAAAGCAGGUGCCCCAAAGUUUCUGACUUUGGAUUGGCAAAGUUUCUGAAGUCAGACCAAACUAAAACCUUCACCGGAAUUAGAGGGACGAGGGGAUAUGUAGCACCAGAAUGGCACCGGAAUAUGCCGGUGACAGUUAAAGCAGAUGUUUAUAGCUUUGGAGUUAUGUUGUUGGAGAUCACGUGUUGUCGAAAGAAUGUGGAUUGGAGUCUUCCAGAGGAUGAAGCUGUUCUCGAACAGUGGGUUUACCAAAGUUUUCUGGACGGUGAUAUGGACAAACUUGUGGGUGAUGAAAUCGUCGAAAAGAAACAGUUAGAUAGGAUGGUUAAAGUGGGACUUUGGUGCACUCUUGAUGAGCCAUCCCUCCGCCCUUCAAUGAAAAAGGUCCUCCUGAUGUUGGAGGGGACCGUCGAAAUCCCAAUCCCUCCAAGUCCUACUUCUUUUUUUACUGCUAUAUGAGCUGCGUUUUAUGGUUAGAAUAAGAGAUUUUUCAGGUCAUUUAUUCCUUUUCUUUAUAAAAUUGCUAUAUGUUUCCGCAGCAUUUAGGAGCUUCCUGUUGGUUUUUCUUCUAGUGUUAAUGCCUGUAAAGUUGUUUCCCAUCGUAUCUUAGAUAUUUUCUUUAAAAAAAAAAGGUAUAUAAAGAGGAGAAAAGAAAACGUUAGCAUGAAAGCUUCACGUGUUCCUAGUAUAAACAACAUUUGUUGGUCUUAUGUUAUCUCAAGAGUGAGCUCUUUACGAAGAAUAGAAUUAAUGAGACUAGGAUCUUUGCUUGUUUGUUCCCCUUCUUCUUCUUCUUCUAUUCUACAAGGCAAUUCCUUGCCUAAAAUGCCAAUGUCCAAUUCCAACGCUCAAGCUUAGUUGCAGGGCAUUAUCGGUGAAUCGAAGUCCAAUACAACGGUUGGUGACAGUACAUUGUUGCAAGUCGCCGUCAAAAUGACUAAUUGCCAGAAGUGAGAAGACCAGAAUGAGCUAAUUAGUUUGUAAUUACAUGGAGCAUAUCAAGCAGAAUUAUGUUAAAAGGAAGCGUUUAUAGAGAAGAUAAGAAGCAGAUUAAUGAGAUAACUUCACACACUUUUUCAUUUACAUUGUGCAUGUAUAAAUACAAGAUUGAAGAGCUUAUUAAUCCUGAAGUUUUGCUAUCCUGUAACUAACUGCAAGCUAUCCAUGAUUCAAACAUUCAAAUUAAAUGUAAGGAUUUGAUUCCGGUGGAUGAGGAUUUUGUGGAGGAACUGAUGCUGUUGGAUGAGUGAUUUGUGGGAAAGUGAUGACUUUCCUUAUAUGCCCCCGCAAGAUGAAGGUACCAUCAGUAACUCCAAUCUUGGAUCUUAAAACUUGAAAACGAUGGCGUGGAAGAGGCUUCGUAAGCAAGUCUGCAAGCUGAUCUAAAGUGUGAACAUGACUGAUGGUAAUACAACCUUUCUAGACAAGAUCACAAACAAAGAGAAGGUCAAUUUCGAUGUGUUUCAUACGAGUGUGUUGCAAUGGAUUUAGGCUGAAAUGAGAUGCACCAAUGUUAUCAUGAAAAACCUAGGGAGGAUUUUUAGGAUGUAAGCCAAGUUCAUUGAUUAAGGAGUGAAGCCAAAUUGUUUCAGAGGUGGCAGCAGCUAAUGCAUGAAAUUUCGCUUUUGUAGAAGAACACGAUACAUCUCUUUGUUUGGGUGCAGACCAAGAAAUGGGAUUGGAGCCUAGAAUGGUGAUAAAUGCAAUGGUGGAGACCCUUGUAUCAGUGUUGGCAGCCCAGUCCGCAUCAACAAAGGUUUGUAGAUUUAAGGGGCUACUCUGUUGAAUAAGAAUCCUAUGAAACAUUGUUUGCUUGAGAUACCUAAGAAUUUGUUUGGCUACAGUCUAGUGACACGUUGUUGGUUUGUGCAUGAACUGGGAAAGUCAAUUUACUGCAAAUGCAAUGUCAAGUCUAGUCAAACCAAGAUAUUGCAGUGCCUCAAUAACUCUUUGAUAUUCUAUGCUAUUUGCAGGAGCUGAACCAUCCGAUAAAAUCAAUGGUGUGCUAGUGGACAUUGGAGUGUGAAUGUCUUUGGCCAUAUCCAUGGAAGUUUUAGAGAGUAAAUCUUAAAUGUAUUUGUGUUAUGAAAGGAAAAGGCCCUUGGCUAUAGGAAUGACUUCAAUGCCAAGAAAAAAAAUAGAGAUGUCCUGUGUCUUUGACAAAGAAGGUGUGACUAAGUUUAUUGAUGAUAACAACUACAAAUAUGGAGAAGUUUCCUAUGAUAAUGAUGUCAUCAACAUACACAAGACAAUAGCAGAGAACACUGUUAGAGACAUAGAUGAAUAAAGACGUGUCCAUAACUGAAUGAACAAAGCUAAAUUGCAGAAGAGCAUCCCGAAGAGCUUUGUACCACUAGCGAGGUGCCUGUUUCAGGCCAUAAAUACUUUUCUUUAGUUUACAAAGAUAUUCAAGCUUGGAAGUAUCUCUGAAGCCGGGAGGUUGAUGCAUAAACAUUAUUUCUUCAAGAUUGUCAUAAAGAAAAGCAUUAUUUAUGUCAAGCUGCCUAAGAGACCAACCAUUCAUGACAACAAUGGAGAUGAUUAAGCGAAUUGUAGUUGUUUUAACAACUGGACUGAAUGUUUGGGAAUAAUCAAGACCUGGCCUUUGGUGGAAGCCUUUGACAACUGGACGAGCUUUGUAUCUACUGAUGGUUCCAUCAGGAUUUUGUUUUGUUUGAAAAACAAAAUUGCAGCCUAUAAGAUUUUGACUUGCUGCAGGAGGGACAAGUUCCCAAGUGACAUGAUUGAGUAAUGCAAUGAUUUCUUCGGACAUGGCAUUGCGCCAAAGUAGAUUUUUAAGUGCUUGACUAACACAUGUUGGCUCAGGGGAUUCAGAUAAUAGAUGUGUUGUGGUGGUGUGAAGCUGUUUUGGAACAAAGAUGUUGUUCAUAGACCGAGUGGUCAAAUUAUUUCGUCUUUGAGAAACAACAAGAGCUAGAAGAUUUACCUGAACUGUGGAGACUGUGGUUGUAAUGUCCAAAUUGGAUGCAGGGAGAGAGAGCUCUUCUUGAUGGACAAUAGAGACUGGUGCAAAGAGAACUUGGUUUGCUGGGUGACAAUCUGCAAUAGUGGUGCAGAUAGAGUAGGAGCGACAGGUAAGGAAGACUCAGAAGUGGACUGGUUGAUGAUGUUCUUUAGAGGAAAGGUGUUUUCAUCAAAUGUAACAUGUCGUGAGAUAUAUAAGCGUUGAGUAGGUAAGUGGAAACAAAGAUAGGCAUUCUGUGUAGUGGAAUAACCAAGAAACACACAGGGAAUAGACUUGGGCUGGAGUUUAUGUGUGUGGUAAGGUUUCAGCCAGGGACAACACAAGCAACCAAAUGUUCUGAGUUUGAGAUAAUUGGGAGAUGCUGUGAACAAGGUUUGAAAGAGAGAUUUUUGAUGAAGAAUAGGAGAGGGCAAUCAAUUGAUUAGAUAGGUUGUUACGGCAAAAGCAUAUGACCAGAAAUAGGAGGGAAGGUUAGCGUGACUGAGAAGUGUGGUGCCUGUUUCUACUAUGUGUCUCUGACGUCGCUCUGAAAAGCCAUUUUACUGAGGAGUGCAUGGGGCUGUGGUGUAAUGACUUAUGCCGUGGAGAGUAAGAAAUGGUUUUAGAGCAACAAAUUCUCCACCAUUAUCAGAGUAGAGACUUUUGAUAUUAGCAUUAAACCAAUUUUGUAUCAUUUUAUGAAAUUAAGGAAAAAUGAUUUUAACAUCAGAUUUGUUAUGAAGUGGAAAAAACCAGACAUAUUUUGUGAAGUGAUCAAUGAAGAUCACAUAAUAUUAUGACCUUGAAUGUUGAUUUGUGGUGAUGGUCCCCAAACAUCGGUAUAUAUUAAAUCAAAAAGAGUAGAGCUAGUGAGACCAUGUUUAUGAAAAGGCAGGUGAUGAGAUUUAUUGAUAAAACAGGAAUCAUAAAAAUGAGAUAUAGAGGAAUUGCUAGAAACUGGAAAAGAGAAUAAGGAGAUCAUUUUGUCUACAACUUUUGAGCAAGGGUGGCCUAGGCGCUAAUGCCAGCCAUUUAUAGACGUGCGUUCAUGAACCAUUGCAAUGGGAGUGGAGGCAUGAGGAUGAGGUAGAGGAUAAACAUCAUUCUCACACGGUCCUUGAAGAAGAAUCUCUCUCGUCUGUUGAUCCUUGACAAAAAAACAAGAAGGAUGGAAUUCAAGAAACACAUUGUUGUUUUUGGUAAAAUGAUGGAUUGAAAUCAAAUUUUGAUUUAUGGUGGGAACACAAAGAGUGUCUUGAACUUGGAAUGUGCGUUUAGGAAAGGGAAGAGUAAGAGAACUUGAGUGAGUGAUUUUCAAACCUGAACCAUCUCCAAUGAGCACUUCAUCUGUGCCAUCAUAUUCAAAGUGUAAGUGCAUAUUGGAUACUUGAGAGGUGAUGUUAUGCGAUGCAGCAAAGUCAAUGAGCCAACACUGAUCUGGACUCUGAGAAGCAGUGGUGCCGUUGGCUGUAGCCUUCUUGGUGUGUAACUUAGGAUAGUGUUUUGCAACAUGGCCAAGUUGAUCACAGUAUUGGCAUUUGGGAGUAUAUUUGUGUUGCCUGAAAUAGCGAGGUUGGGAUUUGGAAUCAUAUUUCUGUGUGGUUGCAUGAAGAGAAGACUAUGGUUGUUUUUGUGAAAAACUAUGAUUCUUGCGCUAAGUAUUAUGUGUUGUAACGACUAGGGGAGGAGAAGUAUUGUCCAGGCGUUUAAGGUAAGACUCAUGACCAAUGAGAAGAUCAUGAAGUUCUUUAAAUGAUAAGGCAGAUUCGCGUGUACAAAUAUGGGCUACCAUUUCUCUAUAUUCAGGCCCUAAGCCAUUGAGAGCAUAGAGAGUAAUAUCAUCAGCAGAGAGAGGAGCAUCAAUGAGUGCAAGCUCAUCGACAAUAGACUUGAUAGAAUAAAGAAAUUUUGUGACAGUGCGUGUUCCAUGAUGAAUGAGAAUGAGAUCCUCUUUGAGUUGCAUGACUUGUGUUCUAGAACGACUGGCAUAAAGCUUGGUCAGUUUGUUCCAAGCUUAAGAGGAUGUUUUGGAAGCUACUAUGAAAGAUAUCACAGAAUCAGACACCUAGUAUUAUGGUCACUAGGAACCCUAACUGGUCAGCAGAGAUUCUAUGGUUCGGGACUGAUUACGUAAAAGGGAAGAUAUUAUCACCCCUUAAACGUCCUGCCUGAGGCAGGCUGCAUUGCUAGUUUUGUCUUAAAUUACUAAAUGUUUAUUAAUUUAUGCUAUGUUAAUUUGCUUAUAAUAUUCCUGACUCUAGCGUCAGUGAAUAUUCAACUACGAAUAUUUCCAACUCUGGCGUUGGUAAAUAUUACGUAGCUAGAAAAUAAAUUAAAUCAAUAUAUUUUUUUAUUCCUGACUCUGGCGCCAGUGAAUAAAUAAAUAACAAUGAAUUUAUUUUUAUGCAUGCACAUAUAUUUUUUAUUUUUCUAGCUAAAUAAAAUGCAACGAAUAAAAAUAAUAUAAAUUUAAACCGGUGUUUUUAUUCCUGACUCUGGUGUCAGUGAAUAAACUAAUAAAUUUACAUUAUUUUUAUUCAUGCAUAUAUAUUUUUUAUUAUUUUUAUUAUUUUUAUUUUUUUAUUUUUUUUGGGCUGGGCUGGGCUAGACCCAGCCCAGCAUACAUAUCUUUGGCUGGGCUCAGCUCAGCCCCACAGGGCUGGGCUAGGCCCAGCCAGGUCACUGGCCCGAGCCAGUGACCGGCUGAGCAAACUGAUGAUGCACGCGUGAAGCACUUUCACGCGUGCAUCAACAGUGCGAAGGUAAUUAAAUUACCUUCGCACUGUUCAAAUGCAAUUCAAUCACUGGAGCGAAAACAAAUGGAAAUGGGCGCACCUGUUUCAGACGACUGUGAAGAAGGCUACAGCGCUGGUGGAGUUCGACUGCUUGCUGUUUCAAAUGAUGCUGAGGAAGGUUGCAACGCCGGUGUGGGUUCUACUGUUUUAUGUCAAAUGCCAAUGGUUCGGUGAUCGAUUGGGAUCCUGCAGAGAUGAAAACAGAGUUAAUCCGUGAUCCUCUGCCUUUUCUCUCCUUUUCUGGCGAUAUAUUUUUCGGAUGAAAAUUGGUUUCUUGCAGGGACGGAAUCGGGGUUGAUGUUGCUGUUCUUCCCUGUGUUUUCUUUUUUUGAUUGUGUUCUGUUUUCUCUAUUUUUUUCUGGGUUUCUUGCUUUGUUUUUCUGGGUUGAUCCUCUGAUUUUCGACCUCCUCUCUGUCCCCUGCGUUCGAGAAGAUGGAGAUGUUAACGUUGGCCCUCUGGUUUUUUGAUGGCGUUUCUCUCUGUUUUUUGCUCUGCUUCUAGGUUCUGUUUUUGGCGUGAUUCUUCCGUUCUUGACUUUGUGGUUUUUUUUCGGAUUCUUUUUCUCCUUCGACUAGGUUUUUUGCUUCCUUUUAUAGACUCCCCAGCCCCUCUCUUUUAACUAGUCCUGUCUUUGCAGAACUCUUCUCUUCCCCGACGAGAUCGUGGGCGAUAGACAUGGUCCACGAUUGGAUCAACUUCGUUGCAGAUCUUCAGCCUAUUGAAUCGGGAUGCAGAAGACGAACACGGCUGUUUCACCAGCAACGGCGACGUUUCGGCAGCAAUGGAUUCCACCAGUAACGGCGACGUUUCAAGCAGCCAUGGACAUUUUCAAUUUGACCCCUAGACUUUGGAAAUUCAGCAAUUAGACCCCUAAACAAUUAAAAGUUUCUUUUAAUCUUGCCCUUUUGGAUUAAUUUCAAUUAAGUCUCUAAAUUAUAACACUAUUUACAAAACAGUCCUUAAUUUGUGGAUUGUCCAAUUUGACCCUUAAUUAAAUUUUUAACUUUUAAUUCUUUCAAAAUUGAUCAAUUAACUCUCAAAUUACAUCUCCAAACUUCAAAAUUUAUUGUCUUAACCCCAUUAUCAAUUAUAUUUAAUUUUUAUUAUUUGUUCAAAAAUUUGGUUAUGACAAAGCCUGAAGCUUUGCUUUUCUGUAACUAACUACAAGUUGUCCAUGAUUCAAACAUUCAAAUUAAACGUAAGGAUUUGAUUCCGGUGAAUGAGAAUUUUGUGGAGGAAUUGAUGUUGUGGGAGAGUGAUGACUUUCCUUAUAUCCUUUACAAUCAAAUUGCAAACAAACGGAGAAUAUAUCAUUUAUCAUAGUUAAGGUGCAUUUAUUUGAAAAAUAUCUUUCAUAUUUGAAAUAUAUAUAUAUAGUAAUAAAUUAUCAAUAGAAAAUAUUUUUUCCAUCACAAAACUAUCAACUCAUGGUUACAUGUUCCUAAUAAUAUUUUUCAAUCUCUUUAAUCAUCAUUACCAUUAUUACAUCACCAUCAUCUUCAUCACAGCUUCUUCACUUUCAUUAUCAUUACUUGCUAACAUAAACAUUAUUAAAACUAUAUGAAUUUAUUAUUAUUCUCAUCAACAUGAUCACAAGUGUAACAUCAUUAAUAUCAUAGCUACAAGGAAAUUUUUUUUUUUUUUUUUUUAAUAUCGUGAUGUUUUAAAUUAAAAGAGAUUAGGGACAACAAAGCCCUUAGAGGCUUAUAAAUGGGUAUAAAUGAAUAAGAGGUAUUGUGGUAAUUCAACAAGCUUGAUAAAUAUAAAUAGAAAAAAAAAGAGGGAUUUGAAAAUUUAAGAGAUAACCAGCAGGAGAGAAAAGGGAAAGAAGAAGGAGAAGAGAAAAGAGGGAAAUUACAAGGGAAAUAGAAAGGAGUUGAAAAUCUAAAAUUUAUGCUUUAAUGUGUUUAAUAUGUUUUAUUUAGCUUUAAAUUUCUAUUUUGAUGAAUGAUUAGGGUUUUGAAGAUUUUAUUUUGCGUUGAUUGAUGAAUUAAUUUUAAUGUUAUGGGUUGAUUAUUGUGGGUAAUGAGUUAAUUAGUUAGUUUUAAGAGAUUGUAGGUAAAGAUAAUUUUGAGUUAUGACUUCUGUAAAUGGUGAAUUUUGAGUUAGAAAUCUGGAAAGGACAGUAGGUUUUCUGUUUAAAUUCUGGGUUUGAGGUUGAAGAUGACAAAAUUUCGGUUUGGUCCCUCAAUUUGUGAAAAUUACAGUUUAGUCCCUAAAUUUUGGAAAAAUUACAAAUUGGUCCCUGGAGCAUAUUCCGAGAUUCCAGACAGAAUAAAAGAUGAAUUAUGGGCAGAAUUCCAGUAUAGUUAUGAAAUUUUAACACAUUUAAUUUGGUCCUCCCAUUUUAGAAAAAUUACAAUUUGACCCUAAAAAUUUGGAAAAAUUCCAGAAUGGUCCCUGGGGAAUAAUUAGAGAUUCCGGACAGAAAUGAGGAUGAAUUAUGGGCAUAAGCCCACUAUAGUCAUGAAUUUAUGAUAUUUUUAGUUUGGCCCUCCAAUUAGACGAAAAUUACAAUUUGGCCCUAAAAAUAUGAUAAAUUCCAGAUUGGUCCCUAGCUAUAAUAUUAGCUUUUUCAGAUUGGUUUGAUGGAUAAAUAAGGUUUAUUUAGUGAAUUAUUAUCAAGUCUUGUUAUUUGUUUUAUUAUGGAUUAGAUUUCGAAAAAACCGUUAAUUUUUGAGUUUUUAGGAAACAUAACUAGUUUAGUCUAAAAACAUAUAGGGUUAUGAAAUAUACCCUUAGAUAAGUGUAUUAAAUAGGUUAUAUGCUCUUUUGAGUUAUUUUUUAAUAUAUCUCAUUUGUAUUCAGAUAAUCAUGAUAUUCGACCGGCGGAACAUUAGUAGGAUUUCCUUCGGUAUCUGCUUUUGAGUUAUGUUUGCUUUCGAGUCAGGUGAGUGGAUAAUUUUCCAUAUGCAUGAGUAAUAUUAUAAAUAUUUGAGUUGUUAAUAUAAAUUGGAUCAUGUUUCUUGAUAAUAUAUAUGUUGAUUAUUAUUCUUGUUACGAUAAAGCAUGAUCAAUAGUUGAAUCUAAAUUCUUAAUAUGAACCAACAUAUAUUUUGAAUUGACUUCUGAAUUGAUAGCUCCUCAUUUGAUUGAUGUCAUGAGUUGAGUCUUGAGAUAUGAAUAUGUCUAUUUGAUUAUGAUUAUAAACCUAUGGUAUACCAGUCAAAAUACCCAUGCUAAUAGGGUAUUGUUAGUCUUUCUGAAUAUCGUAUCUGAACCCUAAUUGGUGAUGUAGAACAGUCUACAGGAGGGGAGGAAGAGCAAAUUGCAGGAUAUAAUAUCAUUGCAGAGAAAUCAGGAACUACAGUUACCAUUGGAGUAUCCUUCCACCAGAUUGCCUCUUUAUUUAGGAGUCCUAAUUAAUGUCGUAAUAUCAGGAUUUAUUUACUUUUCUAGCUAUAGUAUUUGCUUUCUUUAUUCUAGUUAUUUCUUUCCUAAACAAUUAUAUUCCUAGUCGAAUUAGGAUUUGCAGCCUAUAUAAAGGCUGCCUCUUUUAAUUGUAAGGCACUUUUGAAUUCAAUAAAGUACUUUCUCUUAGAGAAUUUUAAUUUCUGAACUCGUGGAUUUGAGUGUAAUUUUGGUUUAAGGAUUCGAAUGAUUUUUCCCGGAAAUAGACGGUGUCCUAUUUCCACAGAAGCUUUCGCUACGUCAGUUGGUAUCAGAGCAGGCCUAAUCCUGUUAGAUGGAAAACCCACACAACGAAAGCGAAACCCUUGGCGGUGGUGAUUGCGAGGACAGUUUGGUUAUAGGGGUUGAAUUCAGAAUUUUCCAGCAUGAGACACAACAAACCUUACGUGAUAUCCAAGCAGCCCUUGCUAGGUUGACAGCAGGAAAUAAUCAAGGGAUCAACAAUCGCCCAAGUCAUCAACAUCACAGAGAAAGGGCUGAAAGUUGUGAACGCCCUCCAAGAAUCCUACGAAGGCAACCAGUCUAUGAGGACAGCUUAAGUGAGGAUGAAGAAGAAGCUGAAGCUAUACUCUAGGGAAACCGGAGAGGAUACCAAAGGGAACCAGACCGACAGAUGUUUCGAAUGAAGAUGGACCUGCCUAAUUUUAAUAGACAACUUCAGAUUGAAGGGUUCCUUGAUUGGUUUGUAUUAGUCGAGAGGUUCUUUGAUUAUAUGGACAUUCCUGAAGAUAAAAAGGUGAAGUUAGUCACAUAUAGACUAUUAGGGGGAGCUUCUGCCUGGUGGGAGUAACUACAAAGUACCCAGCUGUGAUAAGGGAAGGGGAUGGUUCAAACAUGGACUAAAAUGAAACGACUAUUACGUUCCCGUUAUCUACCACCAGAUUACGAGCUAAUUUUUUUAAAACAGUAUUAGGAAUGUAGACAAGAAGCCAGAACCGUUGAAGCUUUCCUGAAAGAAUUCCACAUGCUAUCAUCACGAAAUAAUCUGCUGGAAACAGAGGCACAACAAGUUGCCAGGUUUGUUGGAGGUCUGCAUUGGGCUAUACAAGAUCGUGUGGCAAUACAAACAGUUUACACCCUAACAGAAACCGUUGCAAUGGUUAUUAAGGCAGAGACCCAAUUAGAUAGAUCAAAGGCAAUGGUUGGGACCAGGAAUCCAUUUGAUAAUAAUAGAGCAACAGUCAACAAAGGAAAGACCCCGAUGACCCUGACGACCUCAAUAACCCAACCCUCCUUCUCUAACACUAUACAGGGAACAAGCAGCAGUGGAGCACCAACAAAGCCUACCAACACCAUUCCAUCUGAGGUGACGCCCAGAAAUCCUUAUGCUCGUCCAGGAUCGAAUAAUGUUAUAGAUGUGGACAGCUAGGACACCGUUCCAACCAGUGUCCAAGAAGGAGUACCGUGAACUUAAUAGAGCCAGAAAAAGAGUGCCUUUUCGACACAGAGAAAGAUUAUAACGAAACAGCCUAUACAUAUUGUCGCACCCCAAAAAAAAAUCCAAUUUUUCAAUUGCGGGUUCGACUGGCGAUUUUUUUUUGUUAUUUUGGUUUGGUUCUUUGGAGUCGCCACCUAGUAUUUUGGUCACUAGGAACCCUAACUGGUCUCAGAAAUCGGGUACGGAGACUGGUUGCGUAAAGGGAAGGUAUUAGCACCCCAAAUACGUCCUACCUAAGGUAAGCUGCAUUGUUUUAUUGUCUGAUAAAAACUAAGAUGUUAUUAUAUUUCUAGUCGUUGAUCUGUCUAUGGUUCAAGAAAAAUCCUCCUCGGUAAGAAGGUCUUUUAUCUUAUCGGGUAAAAUCCUAAUCGUUCUAACGUCUAUACCCCAAAACUUUAUUAAUAAUAUUUAGGAAUACGUUUUACGUAUAAAUUCGUAAUCCCAAAUACUAAAAGAAAACAAAAAGAUUUUUUUAAAAUUUUUGAAAUAUUGGCCUAGUUCUCAUGGCUUGAAUAAACUGGUUAUUAAAGCCAAAAUGCAUGUUAAUACAUAUAUUGUUUUGAAAAUUUUCUUUGUUGUGUGAAAAUAUGAUGUUAUAAUAUUUAUAUAUAUAUAUUGGAGAGACUAGGCCGUAUUUUAAAACAAAAACAAUUUUAAAAAAAAUAUUAUUAUUUUUUUAUGCUUUGACGAAAAUCGGGUAUUUUAAAUACUGAGCUUGUAUCCUUACGGUAUAAAAAUACAACCCAAUAUUAAUCCACUUUGAUAAAAAUAUGCAGAAAAAUCAACAUUUUUAGGGAAUUUUUAGAAUUUUUUUUGAAAGCAAAAACAUUUUUUAUUCUGAAAAUCUUUGAUAUUUUGACGAAAACCGGGUAUUUAUAACACUGGUUUUGUAUCUUUACGGUAUAAAAAUACAAACCAAAAUUAAACCACUUUGAUAAAAAUAUGCAGAAAAAUCAACAAUAUUUUUAGGGAUUUUUCAAAAUAUUUAUUUAUUAUUAUAUUUUAUAUAUAUAUACAUAUAUACACACAUAUAUUAUAACAUAUUAUAAUAUAUAUAUAUAUAAUAUAUAAUAUAAAAAUAAUUCGGGCUGGGCCGGCCCAAAUAAACGGGCCGGACUCAGCCCAACAAGGAAAGGUUGGGCCGAACUCGGCCCAACCGAAAAUUCUUCUUCGGUCUGGGCCAGAACCGGCCCAGACGUGCAUGGGCUGGGCCAGCAUCGGGCUGGCCCAACGUUAGAAGCCCAGCGGGGGGGGGAAUUAAUUUUCUCCCCCCCCCCCGCCUCCUGCAUGCAGCAUGCAGGAGGCGAAGCUGCAACGGGCAAAAGAGAAAUGCAGAGGGAAAUGAAAUGUGUACCUGGCGUGGAGGAGGCGGUCGCUGGUGGAGGCUAGUGGCGGUGUCGUGGCUCACGGACGGCGGCUCCGGGCGAAGCUGUGGCUGUUCCCACUUGGCGGAGAGAGAGAGAUUUCGUUCUCUUCCCUUCUCCUCUGUUUUUUUCGUUCCUUCUUUCUCGGUUCGUUGAACCCGUGAUCACUCUCUUCUCUUCUCGGUUCUGUUUAAGAAAACAUCCUCCCCAGUUUUUUUGUUUUCCAGUCGUCUCUCUCUCUCUUCAGUUUCCUCUCUCUCUCCUCUUCGGGCUCCUUUUCGGUUUUCUUCUCUAUUUAUAGGGGCAGAACUAUGGGGGACCAUCGUUAGUGCGGUGCAACGGCUGGUCGGCUAAUGUUUAAAGGUGGUGGGGACGAAGAGAGAGAGGCGGGAAGAUUUGAAAAAAAAAGAAAAUGGUUUUCUUCUUCUGCUGCUCUGCUUCGGGGGGAAGGAGGAAGAUGAACAGUGUCGUUCAAAACGACACCGUUCUGGUCUUCCUCUUAUUUUUUUUUUUUAUAUAUAUAUAUGAAACGGCGUCGUUUUGGAUAAAACGCGCCGUUUCAUUUAAAUGGGCAAACUUCAAAUCAGUCCUCCAAAUUCGGUGCCCGCCCCCAUAGUUGGCCGCCUUUUUCACUUUGGUCCUUGGCCUCUGAUUUAUGCAAUUUAACCCUCAAUUGAUUAAUAAACUUUCAAUUUCUUCAAUUAGGCCCCUGAUCCAAAGAAAAACAGCCCCUCCAUUUACGCGCCUCUUCCAAUUUGGUCCCUGGUUUCGGAUUUUCUUAAUUAAAUCCCUAAUUAGCCCUUAAACUUCAAUAUUUAUGCAAUUAAGCCCCUGAUUUGACCCAAUAAAUUCCUAAAAAAUAUAUUUUUGCCCCAGAACUUAAAUUUCUUCAAAUUAAAGCCCAAAUUGACUUAAAAAUCAAUUUUUCUUGCAAUCAAAUCUUCUAUAAAUUCAAAUAAAAAUCCAAUUAAGUCCAUAAACAUCCAAAUUUGGACUUUUCUCCUCAAAAUUCAAAUUUUCCUUCUCAAUAGGGCUUUCAUCCUUCAAGAAUAUACUGUAAAAAAUUCAAUCCUUGUAUUUUUAAAUUCCUUGACCAAUUUUCUGACUGUUUCCUGAGCGCUUCUGCCUCCUGUUAUUUUUUCUAAACUCUUUUGGCUAUUUAUUUUAUUUUUUAUGGGGACCCAAAAAUGGGUUACAACACAUAUGAAGAAGAAGAAGAAGAAGUAAUAAGAGGCGUCGAGGGAGAACUAUUGUCGCGGUCGCUUGUAGUUCAGCGACUACUGUUGGCACCAAAACGAGAAGAACCCUCUUAGCAGCAUAAUAUAUUCAGAACCAGGUGCACCGUGAACAAUAGGGUCUGUGAUAUUAUCAUUGACACUGGCAGUAGCAAAAAUAUAGUAUCAAAAGCAAUGGUUACUAAGCUGGGAUUGCAAAUCAAGAAGCAUCUUGCACCAUAUAAAAUUGGCUGGAUCAAACGUGGCACUAAAGUAAAGGUAACUGAAGUCUGCCACAUUAAAUUCUCAAUUGGGAAAAAUUAUAUAGAUAAGGUUACAUAUGACGUGGUGGAAAUGGAUGCCUGCCAUGUAAUUUUGGGACGCUCCUGGUAGUAUGUUGUAGACGCCACUUAUAGAGGUCGUGACAAAGUUUAUGUCUUCAUGAAGGGGGUUAAAGGUCGUUCUAGGUCCUAUAAAAGAAGAGCUUGCCAGCAUUAAACCGAAGCCACAAGGAAAACCAAUAUUGCUAGUGGACAGGGGCAAAUUCAUGGAAGAGGCUAAGGAAGCCAAAGAGAUUUUUGCCGCAGUAGUAAGAGGAGAAGUUGGCAGGGAUCAUAUUGACAUUCCACCUACAGUGUUGCCAUUACUGGAGGAAUUUCAGAAGGUUAUACCGUCAGACCUACCUAAUGGGUUACCUCCUGUACGGGACAUACAACAUCAGAUCGAUUUCAUGCUAGGAGCUAGUUUUGCCUAAUCGCCCCCAUUACCGGAUGAAUCCCAAAGAAAGUCAGGUUCUACAACACAGGUAAAAGAAAUGAUUAAGAAAGGACUAGAACAUGAGAGCAUGAGCCCUGGUGCAGUGCCAACCUUGUUAGUGCCAAAGAAAUAUGGUAGUUAGUGCAUGUGCAUCGAUAGCCGGCCAAUCAACAAGAUCAUUGUUAAAUAUAAGUUCCCUAUCCCUUAAUUAGAAGAUAUGUUGGACAUGUUAUCCAGAUCCAAAGUCUUUUCAAAACUUGAUUUGCGAAGCAGGUACCAUCAAAUUCGGAUCAGACUAGGAGAUAAGUGGAAGACUACUUAAAAAAUAAUAAGGGCUUAUAUGAGUGGUUAGUAAUGCUAUUCGGACUAACCAAUGCACCCAGUACUUUCAUGCGGUUUAUAAACCAGGUAUUGAAACCUAUCACUAGAAAAUUUAUGGUGGUAUACUUCGAUGAUAUAUUAAUCUACAGCCAAACCCAAUCUGACCAUCUUGCGUACUUGAAGGAAGUACUUAAAAUUCUACAGCAAAAUAAGUUAUACGUUAAUUUGAAAAAGUACAGCUUUAUGACCAGUAGCUUGCUAUUCUUGGGGUUCGUAAUAAGUGCCGAUGGAAUUAAGGUAGAUGAAGAAAAGAUUUACGCCAUUCGAGAUUGGCCGACUCCGCGAACAGUAAGCGAGGUCCAUAGUUUUCAUGGACUAGCAACAUUUUACAGACUACUUGUUAGAGAUUUUAGUUGAAUAGUCACACCCAUUACUGAAUGCAUGAAGAAAGGGAAAUUCCAUUGAGGAGAAGCAGCAGAGCAGAGCUUUAAAUUGAUCAAAGAAAAACUAUCAUCGGCCCCAGUUUUGGCACUACCAGAUUUUGUCAAAUUAUUUCAAGUGUGAUGCCUCUAUCAUUGGUAUUGGUGUUGUGUUGUCUCAAAAAGGCAAACUUGUCGCAUUCUACAGUGAAAAACUCAGUGAAGCUCGCCAUAAGUGGUCUACCUACGAGCUAGAGUUGUAUGCCGUCUUUUGCACCUUGAAAGUCUGGGAACACUAGCUAGUACCCCGAGACUUCAUUUUAUUCAGCGACCAUCAGGCACUAAGAUUUAUCAACAACCAGAAUAGUGUCAACAGAAUGCAUGCCUGCUGGAUUUCAUUUAUUCAACGCUUCACAUUCACACUGCAACAUAAGGCUGGAUGACUAAACCGAACAGCUGAUGCUCUCAGCCGGAGGACAUUGCUGCUGGUCACUCUACAAACUAAAGUCAUUAGGUUUGAUUGCCUAAAAGAGUUAUAUGGUGGCGAUGAAGAUUUUCAAGAUAGUUGGAGAAAGUGUCAAACGAGGCUUCCUGUGGAGAACCUGCAUAUCCAGGAAGGCUACUUAUUUCGUGGUAACUAAUUAUGCAUACCCAGGAGCUCACUACGAGCUCAAAUAAUUCAUGACUUACACAGUGGAGGCUUGGGUGGACACUUGAAGCGUGACAAAACAAUAGCCCUUGCUGAGGAGAGGUAUUAUUGGCCCCAGUUAAAAAGAGACAUUGGCAACUAUGUUAAACGGUACCCCAUAUAUCAGGUUACUAAAGGACAGUCCUAAAAUACCAGUUUGUAUAUGCCCUUGCCUAUCCUAGCAGCACUUUAGGAGGAUCUUUCCAUGGAUUUUAUCUUAGGCCUACCGCGAACCCAACGCGGAUUUGAUUCAGUUUUCGUAGUGGUCGACAGGUAUUCUACAAUGGCUCAUUUUAUUGCUUGUAAGAAGACUGCAGAUGCAGUGUAUAUAGCAAAUUUAUUUUUCAAGGAGGUGGUGCGUCUACAUGGGGUUCCCAGGUCCAUCACGUCCGAUAGAGACACCAAAUUCUUGAGUCAUUUUUUGCGAUAGUUUGACACAUCCCUGAAUUUUAACAUCACCAGCCAUCCUCAGUUUGAUGGUCAAACAAAGGUAGUAAACCACACUCUUAGGAAUCUAAUUUGUUGUCUUUCUAGGAUAGAACCAAAACAAUGGGAUGUUGCUUUUGCACAAGCUGAGUUUGCUUAUAACAAUAUGCUCAACCGGUCCACUGGGAAGACACCAUUUCAGAUUGUUUAUUGUUGUCCACCACGCCAUGCGUUAGACUUAGUUCCUCUUCCAAAACUGUCGGGUUUAGGCAUUGCAGCAGAAAAUAUUGCAGACCGUAUAAAGUCCAUUCAAGAAGAAAUGUGGCAAAACUUUGAGGCUUCUAACGCCAAGUACAAAACUACAACAGAUAAAAAAUAGAGGGUCCAAACCUUUCAAGAAGAGGACCUUGUGAUGGUUUAUUUGCGCAAAGGACGACUACCUGUAGGAGCAUACAACAAGCUAAAAGACAAGAAGUAUGGACCUUUCCAGAUCCUUUAGAAAAUUAAUGACAGCACAUAUAUUGUCAACCUUCCUGCAGAUAUGGCCAUUUCCCCUACUUUCAACAUGGCAGAUUUGUAUGAGUAUCAUCCUCCUGAUAUGGCGUCUUCUCACUUAACUCACUCGGGGUCAAGUUCUUUUUAUGCAGGGGAGACUAAUGUAGAACAGUCUACAGGAGGAGAGGAAGAGCAGAUUGCAGGAUAUAAUAUAAUUACAGGGAAAUCAGGAACUGCAGUUACCAUUGGAGUAUCCUUCCACCAGAUUGCCUACUUUUUUAGGAUUCCUAAUUAAUGUCGUAAUAUCAUGAUUUAUUUACUUUUCUAGCUGUAGUAUUUGCUUUCUUUAGUCUGGUUAUUUCUUUCUUAAACAAUUAUAUUCCUAGUCGAAUUAGGAUUUGCAGCCUAUAUAAAGGCUGCCUCUUUUCAUUGUAAGGCAUUUUUGAAUUCAAUAAAGAACUUUCUCUUAGAGAAUUUUAAUUUCUGAACUCGUGGAUUCGAGUGUAAUUUUUGGUUCGAGGAUUCAAACGAUUUUUCCCGAAAAUAGGCGGCGUCCUAUUUCCACAGAAGCUUCCACUAUAUUAGUUGGUCGAGGAAGUCACCAACAUGUUUGGACUGAUCAUCCACAAUACGGAGCCCCAUGCUCAUUGCAUUUUGAUUUUUUUACAGAGCUUUACCUUAUGAUAUUCUUGUUAUGGCCUAUUUGAGAAACGUUCCUAUAAGAACCUAGAGCUAUAAUUGUGUAUAUAUUCAUCAUUGUUGUAUUACAUCAUGUGUAUAUAUUAAACGUUAUCUACUCACUAAGUUGUUGAAUUCACCCUCUCAUUAUUUAUCUUUUCAGGCUUAUAGUUUGUUAGCAGGUCACUUUUGUUAGACCUUCAAAACAUGCUCUUUUGGUUGUAAUUUGUACAUUUUCUUUUAUGUCUAGUUAGUGCUCUACAAAUAUGAAUUUAUAUGAACUCUUGUAUUAAGACAAUCAUAUUAUAUUAUGAAGUUUAUUUUAUUAUUAGUGUUGCGUUGAACUCUAAUUGAGUUUUGAAUGAUAAGUUUAUAUACAAGUUUAGGUUCGUAUAGGUAUGGAACCUUGGAAGAGAACCUUGUCUAUGUUCUAGUCAUGAAUCCAGGAUUCGGGUCUAGACAAAUAUCAUAGCAUUUUUUUUUUUCAUAGCACAUUUGUAAUAAAUAAAUUAUAAAGCCCCUCCAAUCAGCAACCAUGGCAUGAAGCUGGUGAGAGAAGAAGCUUUUGCUGAGAAAAGCAGGUCAGCAAAUGCUAGGUUGUCCCUUGACUCAGUCCUUGCCGUGACCACCUCAGUUGUACUCUGAAUAAUGUCGUACAGUGGAACUGAUCAUAAUAUCAACGGUCCAAUUUGUUCCACUUUUCAGUUUUAAUAUUCAAGGGAUUGUUAGUUACGCAACAUGUAGAGAUGCUCUUUCGUUAGAAACUGAGGUUGCUAGCUAGGCUUUAGCAUUUGAGGGACAUUAGUACAAGCAAGCAAGUUGUUCUGUCUUGCCCUAGUAUUAUGGCAGGGUAAUUGCCGAGUUUUUUCAGUGACUUGACUGCAUUGACUUUGAAAGCAUACAAGUAAGCGCAAGGAUUUCCACUAAUUGGUAGGGAAACGCGGUGGAUUUUAUGGCUAGACUUUCAUGUUCUGAGUGCCUGGCUCGACUGCUGGAACCCAAAGAAAGAGACUGGAGUGCUGGAACAAUAGACAUCCUUAUAUUGACACUCCCAUACCACACAAGAGCUAAAUCCCUAUCCAUGGCUUCUAUCAUCUUUUUUCUUCUUCUCGCCUUAUCUUUUACAGCUUCAGCUCAAAGACAGACCAAUAUUACCCUCGGAUCUUCUCUAACACCUAUCACAAACUCCUCAUGGUUGUCACCUUCCGGUCUUUAUGCUUUCGGAUUUUUCCGACAACGCGACGGCUAUUCUAUAGGGGUUUUUCUUUCCGGGAUUUCACUACAGACUGUUGUGUGGGCUGCUAGAAGGGAUGAUGCCCCAGUCCCCAGUAAUGCGACCUUGCUCUUCACCAGAAAUGGCAGGGUUGUCUUGACAUCAGCACAAGGGGGUGAGACUUCGAUAGUUUCUGCUUCCCAGCCAGCUUCUUUAGCUUCUAUGUCUGAUUCAGGCAACUUUGUGCUAUAUAAUUCUGAUCGCGAGAUUAUAUGGCAGAGUUUUGACCACCCAACAGAUACCCUUUUGCCAACUCAACAGCUCAGAGCAGGGGCAGAGCUGGUUUCUCCUGUUUCAGAAACUGAACUCUCAACUGGUAUUUACCGACUCAAGAUGCAAAAUGAUGGCAACCUUGUUCAGUAUCCUGUUAGUACUCCAGAUGCACCUCCAUAUGCUUAUUUUGCAUCUGGUACUUAUUGGGCGGGAGCUAAUGUGACCCUAAAUCUUGAUCCGGAUGGCCGUCUCUACCUGCUCAAUGCCACAGGUUUCAACAUAAAAAACCUUACAGCUGGAGGAUAUCACACGAAAGAAACAAUUAAUAUGAUGAAACUUGAUGCUGAUGGGAUUUUCAGAUUAUAUUCACAAAAUCUGAUACGGAAUGGAACCUGGUCAGCUGUGUGGUCAUCCACAAGCAACAUGUGUGACCCGAAAGGAUCAUGCGGUCUUAAUGGAUACUGUGUGAUGAAGGAUCAGGAAGCUGAAUGUAUUUGUCUUCCUGGAUUUGAGUUUGUUGCCCAGGGAAAUUGGACUUCUGGCUGUGAGAGGGAUUUCAAAGCUGAAAGUUGCAAAGACAAGAAUGGAAGUAGCCCAUACACCAUGGAAGAGCUGUCUAAUACUGAGUGGGAAGAUGUUUCAUACUCCGUUUUGUCAUCAACAACUAAAGACAAUUGUAAGCAAGCCUGUUUGGAAGACUGUAACUGUGAAGCAGCAUUAUUCACGGAUGGGCAGUACUGCAGAAAGCAAAGGCUUCCUUUGAGAUUUGGGAGGAGAAACUUAGAAAGUUCGAACUUGGCUGUCGUCAAGGUGGGUAGACCCAUAUCCACCAUGGACAAUAAAGAGCCUAUAACCGAGAAGAAGAACCUUGGCACUGGCAGGAAUCCUGAUAAUAAGUGGUUCAUUUUUUGCUUUUGGGCUUGCUAUGGUGGCGAUUUUCGGAAUCAUCGUUACAGAUAUCAUGAUUGUCAUAUAAAAGGGUGCCCAAUAAUGAUGGUACUGCAUGAAUGAGUAUUUGCUCCUCGAGCUUUCACUUAUGCAGAGCUAGAAAAUGUUACUGGUGGUUUCAAGGAAGAAAUUGGCAGGGGAUCAUUUGGGACAUUUUAAAGGGAUAAUAUCAAGUACUCGGAAGGUUGUUGCUGUCAAGAGACUGGAAAAGUUCUAGCUGAAGGGGAAAGAGAAUUUCAGAAUGAGAUGAAAGUCAUUGGGAAAACACAUCACAGAAACCUAGUCCGUCUGCUCGGCUAUUGCCAUGAUAACAUCACAGGCUCCGGUAUACGAGUACAUGAGCAAUGCUCCCUUGCUGACAUACUCUUCUCACUUGAAAAAACGACCUUGCUUCCCUGAAAGGUUGAAAUUGCUCAACAUUGCAAGGGGUAUUGUUUAUCUACAUGAAGAGUGCGACACUCAGAUCAUCUCUUGAUAUAAAACCUCAGAAUAUACUAAAGAUGAAAGCAGGUGCCCCAAAGUUUCUGACUUUGGAUUGGCAAAGUUUCUGAAGUCAGACCAAACUAAAACCUUCACGGAAUCAGAGGGACAAGGGGAUAUGUAGCACCAGAAUGGCACCGGAAUAUGCCGGUGACAGUUAAAGCAGAUGUUUAUAGCUUUGGAGUUAUGUUGUUGGAAUCACGUGUUGUCGAAAGAAUGUGGAUUCGAGUCUUCCAGAGGAUGAAGCUGUUCUCGAACAGUGGGUUUACCAAUGUUUUCAGGACGGUGAUAUGGACAAACUUGUGGGUGAUGAAAUCGUCGAAAAGAAACAGUUAGAUAGGAUGGUUAAAGUGGGACUUUGGUGCACUCUUGAUGAGCCAUCCCUCCGCCCUUCAAUGAAAAAGGUCCUCCUCAUGUUGGAGGGGACAGUCGAAAUCCCAAUCCCUCCAAGUCCUACUUCUUUUUUUACUGCUAUAUGAGCUGCGAUUUGUGGUUCAGAAUAAGAGAUUUUUCAGGUCAUGUAUUCCUUUUCUUUAUAAAAUUGCUAUAUGUUUCCGCAGCAUUUAGGAGCUUCCUGUUGAUUUUUCUUCUAGUGUUAAUGCCUGUAAAGUUGUUUCCCAUCGUAUCUUAGAUAUUUUCUUUUAAAAAAAAAAGAUAUAUAAAGAGGAGAAAAGAAAACGUUAGCAUGAAAGCUUCACGUGUUCUUAGUAAAAACAACGUUUGUUGGUCUGAUGUAAUCUCAAGAGUGAUCUUUGCUUGUUUUUGCCCCUUCUUCUCCUAUUCCACAACGCAGUUUCUUGCCUAAAAAGCAAUUGUCCAUACCUACACACAAGUACAGUUCAGAGGCAUAAACGACAGGAAUACCACUCGGUAAUUGAUCGUGUAUCGAUGACGGAUCAUGGAUUCGUCAAUAUAGAAAUUAUGCCAGUGAUUGUAUCAACGAUGCAAAAAAAAUAAACAACUUUACCUAAUUUUUAGAUGAAAAUAAACUAAUGAACUGAUAUAAACAUAAUUUGUUAUGUUUGUUGACUAUUUUUUUAAUACAUGUUUAUUUAUAUUAAAUUAACAAGUUGAUAUUAAAUAAUAUUAAGUUAAAAAAAAACAUAUUAUAUAUCAUUAAUUUAAUCAUAAAAUCAAUUAAAAAAUAUCUUAAUACAUUAAAAAAAACUCCUAACCACCUCAAGUUGAGCUACAUUAAAAAAUAUCUUAUAAGUCGAGGAAGUAUGCUAUUAUAUACUCUUAUUGCUUUUUACUUUGUUCAUACUUACCUCAAGUUUAGCAUUCAGAUCAAUCUUUGCAAUAAUAAUUUGUUUUUGAAUAAACUCCUGAAUGACCAGUAAUAGUUGUUUUAUGUUGGAUUGUGAAGUGUCCACGGUCGCCCUUAUAUAUUAACUUGUAUAACACACAUAAUAAAAUUUCCAGCCUAACUGAUUAAAAGCUGAACCCUAAAAACUAGAAAUUUAGGAGUCCUAAUUUACGGUUUUCACUUUACAUUUAAAUGCAUCAAUUUCGCGUUCAAUCGAUUUGUUAUGUAUGGGAUUCUCUAGAGUUUGUUUAAUUCUAUAUUUAUGCCAAGUAAAUCAAUCCUUUAAAUUAGUCAGUUUCAGUCAUGUAUUUAGAGAAGCAAAUCAGAUUGCAAAACAUUUAGCAGCUAGCGAGAGACUAGAUGUGCACCUGCGCGCUGCGCCAUAGGGAUGAACUUUCUUUUUUUAAAAAAAAAAUGUUAAAAAAAGAGAGUAAAAUUCUUUUUAAAGAAAAGCUAUCCUAUAAAAAGGAUUAAAUAAAAUUUAAUUAACUUAUUAAACUGUAACUUUGAGAUAACUCAAUUAAAAUAAAAAUAAAAAAACUACAAAACCUUUUUUAAAAAAAAGACAGAUAUCAAAUGGUGAAUUAAAAAAAUAAAAAAAUAAAGUAAAUUUUUAUAAAAAUAUAAAAAAGCCUUUAAUUUUUUUUGUUAUCCAAAAAAAAGAUAAUGCAGCGCUUCUAAUGACACGAUAAAAAAAAAUUUUCGGUUAUUGAGAGGUGUUGAACAUGCCAACUAAAUUGAAUUAUAUUUUAUAUUUAUUUAAAUAUUAAAUUGUCCCUGAGCCAAACUAAUCAUAACAAAAAAAACUGUUAAGAAAAUAUAUUAAAAAAAACCUUUAAUUUUUUUUGUUAUCAAAAAAGGGUAAUUAAAUCAUUCUUGCAUGCUGUAGAAAUAUAAAAAAAAAUGGAAUUGUUCCUAAUCAAUUUAAUAAUAAUAUCUUAUGAAAAGAUGGUAUUACCCCAAGAGUAAUCCUUAUGAAUGUCUUUUUUUAAGAAGAACAAAGUCAUCCAUGUGUUCUUUCAAUCCAUAGUAUACGGAGUCUUGUGCUACAAUAAACAUGACUUUCAACAACAUUUUCAAUUUCAAUUCAUAAUGCAAUGAGUUUUUCUAAGUUCUUUAUUUAAAAAAUUAUUUUUUUAUCUUAAUUUCAUAUCGUGUUAGUGGUAAGUUGACUCAAGUUUUUUUUUUAUAUAUUUUAUUUUUUUAAUUUCAGUCUUUAAUAUUAGAUUUUGAAUCUUGAGCUUUUUAAAAAAAAAAUUAUUUUUUUAUGUGAUGGUAUCUGAUUUUAUAUUUCAGGUUAUAUAUUAGUCAAAUUAAUCUGGGUUGACUCAUAUUAUAACCGCAUAAAAUUUUUGUUUUGAUAAUUUAGAAAAAACUUAAGGGCAAAAAAAUGUAGAAUGCAUAUGUUAGAGAUCUCCCAUGAAGAUUUACAUAUUUACUUUUUAACAGAACAUUUUUAACAAAUAAAUUAUAAAACCCCUCAAAGAGCACCCAUGGCUUUGAAGCUAGUCAGAGAAGACAUUUUUGCUGAGAAGAGUCUGCCAGCAAAUGCUCGGUUGUACAUUGACUCAGUCCCUGUUGUGACCACCUUAAUUAUACUCUGAAUAUAGUCAUACAGCGGAACCCUCAAUCGAACUCACCUUGUUAUUACAAGAUAAAGAAAGACCGGUUACAGCCAAGGACAAGAGAUACAUUACUUUACUCAUACGUCCAAUUGCUGUUCCUGCAAAAUACGUGUGGAAAAAACCAUAGAAUCAAAGGUCCAUUGAGUUCCAAUUUUCAGUUUUAAGAUUAUUCAUUUAGCUAGCCGAGAGUAAAUCCAUCUUCUAUGAAGUUUCACGCAGGCCAUUCAUAUCCAAACUAGUGUAUUUACGAAAAAAUCUCUUAAAUUCGAGACUAAAAUGAAAUCGUGAGGAAGCAAAUAAAAGUUUUAUUUCAAACAAAACUUGAAAGUUCCCAUAUAUAGUAUAAUUUCAGGAAAAAUGUGCCUCGGAAGGAAUGUUCUUGCAGGAAGCUAAACAUGAGAACAGAGGAAGAUCCAAGUUGAACUGGAGAAAGAAAAGUACAACCUUGUUGAGAUUACCCGAAUUCAAAAUCCCUACUUUUCACAUAUAAAUUAUAACAUGAUCUUUUUUUAUUAUUGUUAACGUUGGUGUAUGGGUUAGCUUGUGCUCAUCCCGACUAAUCUCACAUGCCUUUAAUUUAAUGACCAUGUAAGCUUUUAAUGAUUACGAGAGAAUUCAAACUCGUGAUUAUUGAAAAACAAAUUCAAAACCUGACUAAUUAAGUUGUCUAUAAGGGUUAAUUAUAACAUGAUCUUUUGUUAGAAAGUGACGUUGCUAUCUAGCCUUUUGCAUCGAAGGACAUGAAUAUAAUCCAGUUGUUCUGCCUUGCCCUAGUAUUAUGGCGGGGUAUUAGCAUUAGCACCACAAUUGGCAUCUCUCAAGUAGUUGAAGCUGUCUGCAGGAAGCUAAAGAUUGUGUUAUCAAAAGCAUAUUGAUGGUACUUGACAAAUAAAAAAGAAUCUGCUGCAGAAAAUUAGAACCAAGAACAGUCCAGGGGAAAUUAGCAAAUGGACUGUUCAAAUGGGGCGUCGCAACUGCAUUGACUUUGAAAGCAUACAAGUAAGCGCAAGGAUUUCCACUAAUUGGUAGGGAACCGCGGUGGAUUUUAUGGCUAGACUUUCAUGUUCUGAGUGCCUGGCUCGACUGCUGGAACCCAAAGAAAGCGACUGGAGUGCUCGAACAAUAGACAUCCUUAUAUUGACACUCCCAUACCACACAAGAGCUAAAUCCCUAUCCAUGGCUUCUAUCAUCUUUUUUCUUCUUCUCGCCUUAUCUUUUACAGCUUCAGCUCAAAGACAGACCAAUAUAACCCUAGGAUCUUCUCUAACACCUUUCACAAUCUCCUUAUGGGUGUCACCUUCCGGUCUUUAUGCUUUCGGAUUUUUCCGACAACGCGACGGCUAUUCUAUAGGGGUUUUUCUACCUUCGAUUUCACCAAGGACUGUUGUGUGGACUGCUAGAAGGGAUGACGCCCCAGUCCCCAGGAAUGCGACCUUGCUCUUCACCAGUGAUGGCAGGGUUGUCUUGAGAUCAGCACAAGGGGAUGAGACUCCGAUAGUUUCUGCUUCCCAGCCAGCUUCUUUAGCUUCUAUGUCUGAUUCAGGCAACUUUGUGCUAUAUAAUUCUGAUCGCGAGAUUAUAUGGCAGAGUUUUGACCACCCAACAGAUACCCUUUUGCCAACUCAACAGCUCAGAGCAGGGGCAGAGCUGGUUUCUCCUGUUUCAGAAACUGAACUCUCAACUGGUAUUUACCGGCUCAAGAUGCAAACUGAUGGCAACCUUGUGCAGUAUCCUGUUAAUACUCCAGAUACAGCUACAUAUGCUUAUUUUGCAUCUGGUACUAAUGGAGAUGAUGUGACUCUAAAUCUUGAUCCGGAUGGCCGUCUCUACCUGCUCAAUUCCACAGGUUUCAACAUAAAAAACAUUGCAGAUGGAGGAUAUCCCACGAAAGAAACAAUUAAUAUUAUGAAACUUGAUGCUGAUGGGAUUUUCAGAUUAUAUUCACAAAAUCUAACACUGAAUGGAAACUGGUCAGCUGUGUGGUCAUCCACAAGAGAUAAGUGCCAACCCAAGGGAUCAUGCGGUCUUAAUGGAUAUUGUGUCGUGAAGGAUCAGGAAGCUGAAUGUAUUUGUCUUCCUGGAUUUAAGUUUGUUACCCAGGGAAAUUGGACUUCUGGCUGUGAGAGGGAUUUCGAUGCUGAAAGUUGCAAGGACAAGAAUGGAAGUAGCGCAUACACCAUGGAAGAGCUGUCUAAUAUUGUCUGGGAAGAUGUUUCAUACUCCGUUUUGUCAUCAACAACGAAAGACAAUUGUAAGCAAGCCUGUUUGGAAGACUGUAACUGUGAAGCAGCAUUAUUCACUGAUGGGCAGUACUGCAGAAAGCAAAGGUUUCCUUUGAUAUUUGGGAGGAGAAACUUAGAAAGUUCGAACUUGGCUUUCGUCAAGGUGGGUAGACCCAUAUCCACCAUGGACAGAAAAGAGCCUAUAACCGAGAAGAAGAACCUUGGCACUGGCAGGACAAUCCUAAUAAUAAGUGGUUCAUUUGUUGCUUUUGGGCUUGCUAUGGUGGCGAUUUUCGGAAUCAUCGUUUACAGAUAUCAUGUAUUGUCAUAUAAAAGGGUGCCCAAUAAUGAUGGUACUGCAUUGAAUGAGGUAUUUGCUCCUCGAGCUUUCACUUAUGCAGAGCUAGAAAAUGUUACUGGUGGUUUCAAGGAAGAAAUUGGCAGGGAUCAUUUGGGACAGUUUAUAAGGGAUAUAUCAAGUACUCGAAGGUUGUUGCUGUCAAGAGACUGGAGAAAGUUCUAGCUGAAGGGGAAAGAGAAUUUCAGAAUGAGAUGAAAGUCAUUGGGAAAACACAUCACAGAAAC
rnacentral:lncRNA from 1 species